GGGGACGACGUCAAGUCAUCAUGGCCCAUACGGGUAGGGCUACACACGUGCUACAAUGGUCAGUACAGAGGGGAGUGAAGCGGCGACGUGGAGCAAAUCCUAGAAAGCUGGUCGUAGUCCGGAUUGGAGUCUGCAACCCGACUCCAUGAAGUCGGAAUCGCUAGUAAUCGCGAAUCAGCAUGUCGCGGUGAAUACGUUCCCGGGCCUUGUACACACCGCCCGUCACACCAUGGGAGUGGGUUGCACCAGAAGUAGAUAGUCUAACCUUAGGGGGGACGUUUACCACGGUGUGAUUCAUGACUGGGGUGAAGUCGUAACAAGGUAGCCGUAGGGGAACCUGCGGCUGGAUCACCUCCUUAAAUAUAAAGAAGGUCGACGAAUCAGAGAACCCACACAGUUUGUUUUCA
rnacentral:rRNA from 1 species